UCGAGGGGGGAGGUGGGCUGAACUGGGCCCCCGGUGCUCAGCUGUCGGUGCUUCCUCUGCAGGUGGGAACCGAGCAGUGCCAAGUCGCUCUCUCCCACUCACUCACACAGACACCCAUGCAUGGCUCAAUAAUGGAUGCUUUACACCGGUGCCAGAGAGAGAGUGAGAGAAAACCGCAAAAGGAGGGCAAGAUGCUGUGACGAGAACGAAAAUGCUUUCGGAAGCGGCCAGAGAAGGUUCAAGCACCUGCGGCAAGUGGAGACAGACUGAUGGCUGGACCAGCAGAAUAAACUGCUCACACUGUU